GAGGUGAGUCAUCGAAUCUUUGAACGCACAUUGCGCCCGCUAGUAUUCUGGCGGGCAUGCCUGUUCGAGCGUCAUUUCAACCCUCAAGCCCUCCGGCUUGGUGUUGGGGACCGGCCGCCUGCCUCACGGCGGCGGCCGCCCCCGAAAUUCAGUGGCGGUCUCGCUGUAGCUUCCCCUGCGUAGUAAUUCACCUCGCACUGGAACGCGGCGCGGCCACGCCGUAAAACCCCCAACUUCUGAAGGUUGACCUCGGAUCAGGUAGGAAUACCCGCUGAACUUAAGCAUAUCAAUAAGCGGAGG
rnacentral:misc_RNA from 1 species